rnacentral:rRNA from 1 species
UAAUACAGAGGUGGCAAGCGUUGUUCGGAUUUACUGGGCGUAAAGGGUGCGUAGGCGGCUCCGCAUGUCGGAUGUGAAAUCCCAUGGAUCAUCUAUGGAACGGCAUUCGAAACUGCGGGGCUAGAGUGCGGGAGAGGAAGGUGGAAUUCUCGGUGUAGCGGUGAAAUGCGUUGAUAUCGAGAGGAACGCCGGUGGUGAAGACGACCUUCUGGAACGCAACUGACGCUGAGGCACGAAAGCUAGGGGAGCAAACAGGAUUAGAUACCCUGGUAGUCCUAGCCGUAAACGGUGUGAACUUGAUGUAGGAGGAAUUAUCCCCUUCUGUGUCGAAGCUAACGCGAUAAGUUCACCGCCUGGGGAGUACGGUCGCAAGAUUA